CCUACGGGGAGCUGCAGUGGGGAAUAUUGCACAAUGGGGGAAACCCUGAUGCAGCGACGCCGCGUGAGUGAAGAAGUAUUUCGGUACGUAAAGCUCUAUCAGCAGGGAAGAAAAUGACGGUACCUGACUAAGAAGCCCCGGCUAACUACGUGCCAGCAGCCGCGGUAAUACGUAGGGGGCAAGCGUUAUCCGGAUUUACUGGGUGUAAAGGGAGCGUAGACGGCAGCGCAAGUCUGGAGUGAAAUCCCAUGGCUUAACCAUGGAACUGCUUUGGAAACUGUGCAGCUAGAGUGCAGGAGAGGUAAGCGGAAUUCCUAGUGUAGCGGUGAAAUGCGUAGAUAUUAGGAGGAACACCAGUGGCGAAGGCGGCUUACUGGACUGUAACUGACGUUGAGGCUCGAAAGCGUGGGGAGCAAACAGGAUUAGAUACCCCGGUAGUC
rnacentral:rRNA from 1 species